GGAGUUUGGUCCGUGUCUCAGUACCAAUGUGGGGGACCUUCCUCUCAGAACCCCUACUGAUCGUUGCCCCGGUGGGCCGUUACCCCGCCGGCAAGCUAAUCAGACGCAUCCCCAUCCCUUACCGAUGAAUCUUUGCUCCUCAUCUGAUGCCAUCAAAGGAGAACAUAGAGUAUUAAUCCGACUUUCGCCGGGCUAUCCUCUACUAAGGGGAAGGUUGGAUACGCGUUACUCACCCGUGCGCCGGUCGCCAUCAGUCUUAGCAAGCUAAGACCAUGCUGCCCCUCGACUUGCAUGUGUUAAGCCUGUAGCUAGCGUUCAUCCUGAGCCAAGAUCAAACUCU
rnacentral:rRNA from 1 species